rnacentral:tRNA from 1 species
GCCGGUGUGGCGGAAUUGGUAGACGCGCGCGAUUCAAAAUCGCGUUCCCUAGGGAGUGUGGGUUCGAGUCCCACCACCGGUA